AGUUUUUACAGUAUAAUUAAACCCAAAACUGUCAAAAGCAAUUGACACUCCGCAAGUUGUGUUGUGUUGUGUUGUGUUGUGUUGUUGUUGUGUAUCAGUUCACGUGUCAAUCAGCUGUAGCGCAUUGUAUGUUGGACAAACACGCCGACACAUUCACACACGUAUCUCAGAGCAUUUGGGAGUCUCGCCUUUGACUGGAAAAGAACGCUCUAUAUCUCAACCAUGUCUAGUAUACUCGCUCACAAACACAUGCACAAACACCCAGUCUCCGCUUCUGAUUUCAAAAUUCUAUCAUCAGGC